GUUGUAGCUCAGUGGUAAAGCUCUUGCCCUGUAUGUGUGAGGCCCUGGGCUCGAUCCUCAGCACUACA
rnacentral:tRNA from 1 species